CAACUCUGGAAAGCUUUACAGAAACGUAAAGCACCGACGGAGUAAGCAAAGGAUUUUAUCUUUUGUGAAUCUCUCAGGUUCUAAGACAGAGGGGG
rnacentral:ncRNA from 1 species